UACGUAGGUGGCAAGCGUUGUCCGGAAUUACUGGGCGUAAAGCGUGCGCAGGCGGUCUUUUAAGUCAGAUGUGAAAUCCCCGGGCUUAACCUGGGAACUGCAUUUGAAACUGGCGGGCUUGAGUGUGGCAGAGGGGGGUGGAAUUCCGCGUGUAGCAGUGAAAUGCGUAGAGAUGCGGAGGAACACCGAUGGCGAAGGCAGCCCCCUGGGCCAACACUGACGCUCAGGCACGAAAGCGUGGGGAGCAAACAGG
rnacentral:rRNA from 1 species